rnacentral:rRNA from 1 species
UACGGAGGAUCCAAGCGUUAUCCGGAUUUAUUGGGUUUAAAGGGUGCGUAGGCGGCCUUGUUAAGUCAGGGGUGAAAGACGGUAGCUCAACUAUCGCAGUGCCCUUGAUACUGAUGGGCUUGAAUGUACUAGAGGUAGGCGGAAUGUGACAAGUAGCGGUGAAAUGCAUAGAUAUGUCACAGAACACCAAUUGCGAAGGCAGCUUACUAUGGUAAUGAUUGACGCUGAGGCACGAAAGCGUGGGGAUCAAACAGGA